GUGUCCACACCGCUUGCUGAUGGUGAUUCACCGACAGAGGCUUUUCUGUUUUGGAGGCGAGAACUAAAGGCUAUAGAAGCUCCUCAUCCAGCGGCUGCCCCGCGCUGAUUCGGCCGGUAUUCUGCACCUCUCGUCCAGCGGCACAUCUCCGCCUCCUCUCUGGGGCUUGUUCGGGUAACCGGGGGAGAAAAACGGAGAGAUGCGCGCAGGGUCCUUGAACGCCACAAAGAAGUUCCCGAGGCUGACAGAAAGAGGACUCUCCUGUUGAUUCAGCUCUUCUUUCCACCCCACACAUUUCAGGAAUAUUCCAGGAGAACACUUCCCACCUCUAUAUGGCAAAGUUCCUGGCUGAAUUACUGGGAUGCACACUUCCAGACAAGGGCACUCCACCUUUGUUCGAGUGUCGCCAAUCCCAUCUCGGACUGAGGCCUUCCUCCAAACCGCGGCCAACAAUUUUUGGGACAUUAACCAAUGAGAGAGCACUGUUUGACUGCAGACUGGUGAGUCACCU